rnacentral:rRNA from 1 species
AUUGAACGCUGGCGGCAGGCCUAACACAUGCAAGUCGAGCGGAGCGGCCGACGGGCGAGUAAUGCCUACCAAUCUGCCCGGUCGUGGGGGAUAACUUCCGGUAACGGGCGCUAAUACCGCAUACUAGCAGAUGAGCCAAGGUCGGAUUAGCUAGCUGGUGGGGUAAAGGCCUACCAAGGCGACGAUCCGUAACUGGUCUGACAGGAUGAUCAGUCACACUUGAACUGAGGCACGGUCCAGAGUCCUACGGGAUGGAGCAGUGGGGAAUAUUGGACAAUGGGCGAAAGCCUGAUCCAGCCAUGCCGCGUGUGUGAAGAAGGUCUUCGGAUUGUAAAGCACUUUAAGUUGGGAGACGUUACCAACAGAAUAAGCACCGGCUAACUUCGUGCCAGCAGCCGCGGUAAUUC